UACUUGACCUUUCAUUAAAAUUAAUCUUACAAAUCGGCUUUUCUCCCAGAAACCUCUUGGCAGAAGUAACUUCCAAGGAUGAACCAAGACAAUUAUACUGCAUCUGAGAUUAGUAUACAGUAAGGGUAGAGUUUAUUAUCUGUGGUUUGUCUCCUGUACAAACAGGUAUGUGUAUCUAAUAAAGACGGCUGUCAAGAAAA